rnacentral:misc_RNA from 1 species
UCCCCCUAUUCUAAACUAGCGGAGUGAAGAGGAAAAGGGAAAGAGAAUUUCGAAUUUUCGAUUUUGGCAAAGCAAAUGACAACUCAUUUUGACAUUUCUGUGUGAAUUGAGGAAAUUCAAAAGUUUAAACUAUUUGUUGAAUUUAAUAGUUUUUAAAGAAAACAUUAAAAUAAUGCAUAGUAUUGCCUUUCGGAUGGUAGUUGAGGAGACAUAUGCCGAAUCGGAGCUUCAGGAAACUCAGCAGAGGUGUAUAAGAAGGAGGCUGCGCGAUAGUACGAAUCCACUUGAUUUGCCGCAAUCACUGUUUCAGAAGUAUUAUAGGGUAAAUAAGCCCGCUUUUCGAUAUUUGUUGGAACUCCUAACCUCGCAUACUCAGCAAGCUAAAAAACAGUUUGCAGUUUCGCCUGUUAUAAAACUGAGCGCAUGUUUGCGUUUCUUUGUUGAAGGAGGAUAUCGAACGGGAAUUGGAAAGGACUUCGACGUUUCUCUAGCCCAGUCCGUCUUCAGUAAAGUUCUGGAAGAAGUGACAGAUAUUUUUGAAACGUUGUUGUGCUCAAGGUGGAUAAAUGCGUCAAUGAGCAGCGAUGAAAGAAGACGAAUUUCACGUACAUUAUACGAAAAACAUGGUAUUCCCAGUAUUGUAGGGUGUCUUGAUGGAACACAUAUUCGUAUCAUCGCACCCUCUGUAAAUAAGCACCUAUACUACAAUAGGAACGGAUACUAUAACCUAAAUGUGAUGCUGGUAAGCUGUUAUUUAAAAGCCUUACUUGUAUAACAACUAAACUGAAAAUUUUUAUGUAUAUACAUAUGUAUGUUAACGAAUGCGUGUCAUUAUAUAUUGGUAAACCACGACCACGAGCUUAGAAUUCGGUAUGUUGAUGCCUCCCAUCCUGCUGCUUCUCAUGACUCCUUUAUUUGGAAUGGCAGUUUGUUGAGAACUCACCUUGAAACACAGUAUUUGCGAGGUGAAGGAAAUUUUUGGUUGCUAGACGCUGGAUACCCCUUGGAACCAUGGCUCCUGACACCAUAUCGAAGCCCAGAAGAAGGCUCCAACCAGCUAAAAUUUAAUGAAGCCCAUUCGAAAUGUCGUAACUUGAUUGAACGAGUUAAUGGAGUGCUGAAGAAUCGGUAGAGGUGUCUCUUUGGGGCAUGAGAACUGCAUCACACUCCCAGAAAAGCAGUUAAAAUAGUGAAUGUUUGUUGUGCGUUACACAAUAUAUGCAUACAUUUUAAGGCAUACACAGAUAUAAGCGAAGUAAACCCAGCGGAGGAACAGAUAAUCCAAAUUAGUGAAAAUACAGAUGUUACCUGUUUAACCUCGCCCCAGUAUUUGGCUGCAGCACAAAAUAUAAGAAACCGAAUUGCAAACUCUUUAGAUUUUAAGAUAAAAAAGCAAACCAACUUUAAUUUAAAACAAUGAAUUAAUAAU